AUUGAACGCUGGCGGCAUGCCUUACACAUGCAAGUCGAACGGCAGCGCGGACUUCGGUCUGGCGGCGAGUGGCGAACGGGUGAGUAAUGUAUCGGAACGUGCCCUAGAGUGGGGGAUAACGUAGCGAAAGUUACGCUAAUACCGCAUACGAUCUACGGAUGAAAGUGGGGGACCGCAAGGCCUCACGCUCAUGGAGCGGCCGAUAUCUGAUUAGCUAGUUGGUAGGGUAAAAGCCUACCAAGGCGACGAUCAGUAGCUGGUCUGAGAGGACGACCAGCCACACUGGGACUGAGACACGGCCCAGACUCCUACGGGAGGCAGCAGUGGGGAAUUUUGGACAAUGGGGGAAACCCUGAUCCAGCAAUGCCGCGUGUGUGAAGAAGGCCUUCGGGUUGUAAAGCACUUUUGUCAGGAACGAAACGGUGGGGGCUAAUAUCCUCUGCUAAUGACGGUACCUGAAGAAUAAGCACCGGCUAACUACGUGCCAGCAGCCGCGGUAAUACGUAGGGUGCGAGCGUUAAUCGGAAUUACUGGGCGUAAAGCGUGCGCAGGCGGUUGUGCAAGACAGAUGUGAAAUCCCCGGGCUUAACCUGGGAAUUGCAUUUGUGACUGCACGGCUAGAGUGUGUCAGAGGGGGGUAGAAUUCCACGUGUAGCAGUGAAAUGCGUAGAUAUGUGGAGGAAUACCGAUGGCGAAGGCAGCCCCCUGGGAUAACAC
rnacentral:rRNA from 1 species